GUAGACGUUAGCUCAGUGGUUAGAGCACAGGCCUCUGGCUCUCGGAUCCGCGAGUUCGAGUCCCGUCGUCUACU
rfam:Nasonia vitripennis chromosome 1, whole genome shotgun sequence.